UGAGGAAUAUUGGUCAAUGGACGCAAGUCUGAACCAGCCAUGCCGCGUGAAGGAUGAAGGCCUUCUGGGUUGUAAACUUCUUUUAUUGGGGAAGAAAAUUACGGUUUCUACUGUAACCGACGGUACCCAAGGAAUCAGCACCGGCUAACUCCGUGCCAGCAGCCGCGGUAAUACGGAGGGUGCAAGCGUUAUCCGGAUUCACUGGGUUUAAAGGGUGUGUAGGCGGGCUGUUAAGUCAGUGGUGAAAUCUCCGGGCUCAACCCGGAAACUGCCAUUGAUACUAUCAGUCUUGAAUUUUGUUGAGGUAGGCGGAAUAUAUCAUGUAGCGGUGAAAUGCAUAGAUAUGAUAUAGAACACCGAUUGCGAAGGCAGCUUGCUAAACAAAUAUUGACGCUGAGGCACGAAAGCGUGGGGAUCAAACAG
rnacentral:rRNA from 1 species